rnacentral:miRNA from 1 species
UUAUUAUCCAUUUUUAAAAAUUUCUAUUUACCUAAAAAAUGCAAAAUUAAUUUAGAUUAAUAACACAUUUCAAAACAAAUGAAUUA